CACACACACACACACACACACACACACUGCCCCUGACACACACCGGACCACAGGCACCCCCUCCGCCUCCCCAGCCCCACCAUGCAGGGAGCUGCCUUCCGGGACCCUAUAUGCCCCUUGCGUCGCCUUGGCUCACCGCCCCCAGGACAGUGGACAAUGCUGUCUUUACAUGUAUUUUUUAUUUUUUCCGCCAGUUUAUUUCUGUGAGCCCGUUGCGUGUCCCCCAGACAGGAUGGUCUGACUGGGGAGAUAAGGCCGUGAACAGAUAGUAAACGUGGGGUCAGCAGUUAGCAGGAAAUGCUUGCAGGAGUCUGAAGGGACGGUGGUCAUUUAUUUGCACCACAGGCCGUUGAAAGUCGAGAGCGUCACAGCCAGUUUUACUUUUCCAACGCUUAUCAUGUCCUUCGUGCCUAUUAACUAUCUUCACGACCACCUCGGUGCCACUAAUUGUCCUCUUUCUCCAGAGGAGGAAGCUGGGUGCAGAGGCGGAAGUUGCUGGAAGUCCCCCAGCUACCUCGGUGGUGGAACCUGUCCUGCCUGUUGCUUUUCCAUUUCACCUUGUGGCUCCGUGCAGGUCCGGUGCUGAGGCGUCCCCUGGUUCCCGGCCUCCGGAAACGCUCCAGGGAAGACCGCAGGCUCCCCAGGCCUGGCCCACGUCCACUGCCUUGGGCAUCUGAGAAGCUGUCUUCCGAAAACAGAGCCUCCAGGAACCCACGGACAGUAUGUUUCAAAGUGUGCUGGCCAGGAAAGCGACCAGACACGAAGGGCACUUCCUCCCUCCCUCCGCUCCAAAGGCGGCCAGGAUGAGGUUGUUGGACAGACAGGACAGCAGCAGUGUGGGGAGGAGGGCGGCUUCUGCUGCUUUUUCCCAGUGGGGGCUGGGACUAAGGGCCCGGCUUGGGCUUUGUUUUGCCCGGAAGCCAGUAUGCUCCCCCCAUUCCCCGGGACGGGGGACGGUAGGCUCUGACCCCGUGCUCGAGCCCAGACUGUCCUGGUCUGAGAAUCUGUCCUCUCCAGAGACAGGCCCGCAUGGCUUCGAGGAUGGGGACCCGAGCGUUUGCCAAACUCAGAACCUCUCUCUGUCCUCCUGAUGGGCAGGGAACAGGUUGGAGGCAGUAGGCCUCCUGAAUGAGCCCGGCCGACCCUGGGUGGCAUGGCCUUCUGCAGAGCCAGGAACCGGAAGGCACGGAAAGGAAACAGUGUUAGGACCAGCCUUGCCAGUUCUCAGAGUUCUUGCAGCCCCUGCCGUUCUACCUUCCCAUAUUUUGAUGCUUCUGUCACGGGGCGGAGAGUUUCAUCUUGGUUGUGCCCGGUGCCUCUUUUCACCACAAAGAACCCCCUGCGGACGGACGGUCUCAAAAUGCAUUUCAAAGAAGAAGAAGAAACGCCAAAACAGGGUGAAGAAACUGUAGGAGAAACAACGCGAUCGCUAUUUGCAAAGCGCUGGUGGGUCUUCGAGUCUCGAGCCCAGGCCUCCCGCUCACACCUUCUCUUGGAGAAGAGCAUAAAGGCCCAGAAGAGGCGCUGAGGUCAGUUUUGGGGAUGGACGCAGAUGGGGCGUCCCAGUUCCGUGUUCUCUGCCCUGCAUCCACACCCCCACCCUGCACUGCUGGGUGCUUUCUGCUCAGAGGCUCAGAGGACGACCCCAAGCACACUGGACGGCCGCCCUGAUGGGGCCGCUGUGUCUCCGGCAUCUUGGAAACGCGAUCCGAGUGAAAGAUCCGCCUCUUGAUUUCAUAAAUGAAAUGCAGUCAGUUGCAUUUGACAGGGA